UAGAGAAUCUUCCACAAUGGACGAAAGUCUGAUGGAGCAACGCCGCGUGAACGAUGAAGGCCUUCGGGUCGUAAAGUUCUGUUGUAAGGGAAGAACAAGUGCCGCAGGCAAUGGCGGCACCUUGACGGUACCUUGCGAGAAAGCCACGGCUAACUACGUGCCAGCAGCCGCGGUAAUACGUAGGUGGCAAGCGUUGUCCGGAAUUAUUGGGCGUAAAGCGCGCGCAGGCGGCCUCUUAAGUCUGAUGUGAAAGCCCCCGGCUCAACCGGGGAGGGCCAUUGGAAACUGGGAGGCUUGAGUAUAGGAGAGAAGAGUGGAAUUCCACGUGUAGCGGUGAAAUGCGUAGAGAUGUGGAGGAACACCAGUGGCGAAGGCGACUCUUUGGCCUAUAACUGACGCUGAGGCGCGAAAGCGUGGGGAGCAAACAGGAUUAGAUACCCUGGUAGUCCACGCCGUAAACGAUGAGUGCUAGGUGUUGGAGGGUUUCCGCCCUUCAGUGCUGAAGCUAACGCA
rnacentral:rRNA from 1 species